CUCGGUAAAACGUAUAGAAUAAACGUUAAUCAAAAAUACUUGGCGUAAAAUGCUAAAAGAUUGCGAUUUAAUUAAAAAAAAGAACCAAUUGAUAAUGUUGUUAUAUUUUUUUACGAAUUAAUCGCUAGAGUUAUUGUUAAGAAAAUGGAAUAAACUUAGUAAAGAUAAAAUUUUUUUAUAAAGUUUGGAACAUCAAAUGCUAAAGCAAUUUUCUAACAAUUGAAAUGUAACUAUUGUUACUAAUAACUGACUUUUUUAAUUGCUAAAGUUUGAGUAGCAAAAGGAAUUAGAGACUCCUGUAGUUCAAACCUUCACCGAUGAAAUUUUUUUUUUAACGAAAAAUAGUUAACACAAAACUUUCUGCCUGAACAGUA
rnacentral:rRNA from 13 species